CGUCUCUCACCCAUUUUUGAUGUUCUUCCUCUAAAUCUUUCGAGAUUUUCACUUGUUUUCACUUGGUUUUGAAGAUCUAAGCUUUUGAAACAAGUUUUGGAGCUUUGGGAACUCAGGAGCUCAUUUCCGUGGAUCUCCAAGUUUAGGUCGUCUUCCUCUCGAUCUUCAAGAGGUAAGAGCCGAUCUUAAGCUCCUUAUGUGUUUUAAGUAAGUUUAUUGCAAGAU
rnacentral:lncRNA from 1 species